CUUCUCUUGUUUGAUACAUGAUGGAAAUAUAUUGGAAGGAUCAUCCAAUCAGUGCUACCAAAAAAAAGUGUGAUUUUGCACUGUGGGAAUGAAAAGUUGGUGGUCCACAUCAGUUGAUUUGUAUGUCCAGAGGUUUCUAAAAGCUAGCAUGGCAUAGGGAGCUUCGCUACCCCUCUUGCAUAAAGGAUCCAUCAUCAUAGUAUGUAGAAUAUGCAUGCCUGCUUGCAUAAUGCUACCACCAGUAUGAUUUUCUUGAACUGUGAACUCCAGGAUGCAGGAAAUUUUCUACUCCAAAGGGAGAAUUUUCAUCUUCGCUCCCUGUCCAAGGCUCCUGUUGGCAAAAAGAAAUUUGAUUUGUUUUGUAUACUUAUCCAAUCAUUUUCAUGAUGGAUUUCAUUUUUUAAAUUCCAGCACUUUUCGGAAGUAUCUUUUCAUGCAGUGUGAUUUUUUUUCUUGUUUGAUAGAUGAUGAAAUUAGGGGUGCACAUUCAAUUGAUUUUUUGCAGGAAUUGUAAUUAGAUUCUUCUCAGCAUGUUCACGCUGCUUCCUCCAAGGCUGCUCUGAAGCAGCCAACAAUCAGAGUCAUAGCUAUUAUAGCUGAAGGAUGUUAAGAAGCCUCCACCUACUCCAAUGGAGAACACAUAAUCAAAAGUGAAAAAUAAGCAAGAGGAGCCCAAAGCCAGUGAGAUGAAAGCGGCUGGGGUUGGACUAAAAGUUAGUUGGAAAUUUGGUCAAAAUGCAAUUCUAUAGGCCAAUCUUUCUGGACAAGAGAGCAGUAAUGGUAUGGCCUCUCUGAUGAUUUAAUAGGCUAGAACAUUGGUUUGCUAUGUUCCACUGUGGAUGGACUAUGACAUGCUCCAAAAAUCUACUCAGCCGGAUAAUCUUAAAGUUUUUAUUUGUGGCUGACAAAUAGAUAUUAAGAGAGAUACAACAAACUAGCCUGUGUUCAACUGAAAAGCAUCCUAGGUUGGGAUCUUAUCAUUUGGGCUAUUUUUGGGCCAUGUUCAAUCCAUGAUUGUGGAUUAGCAAACCAUAGGCCCCACUUUUCAGAAUUAAAAACCUACAUAUACUAUUGAAAGUAUAUAAUUUCUCAAGUCAAAAUAUGGAAGUACAUAGGUUAUUUGGCUUAAAAUAUAAACUUACUUGAGUCAAAGUAAAGGUAAUUUUAUAGUCGAAUGUUCUUUGGCUUUCUUGAAAAGCAGAAGGCACUUUGAAAGGGUUCCUUUUUUUGUAAAGAACUGAUGGCUAUUGCCUGAUUUGCAGAUGCUACAAUUGUUUUUUUUUUUUUGUCUUUCUUUCUAUUGCAUAGGCAGCUAGGCAACUGUGGAUGGAUAGAAGGAUCGAUCCUGCUAUUUGUGUUGUCGUGAUUGUGCCAAAUAUUCUCUCCUGCAAUUUGUCAGCGCACGGAUCUAUAAAUCUUGCGAUUGUCCAAACAGGUCGUAAGUGUUAGUCUUUAGAAAAAGUUUUUAGAGGAACUAGAAGUAUCUUCUGUUAAUUUGAUUAGGUAUUUAAUGGUUUUUUGUAAACAAGCAUCAUGUUCCUUGUAAUGUUUAGAGUCAAAUGUAAAGUUUUAGAAUGAACAGUCAUCGACAAUUGGUCUCUUCUUCUGCAGAUCACAAGGUGUGGAUUCUGGAGAAUCUCAACCACAAGGUUUUAUAUGUAAACUCCUAGAAGCCAAAUCCUGUUUUUUAGUAUCUAAAACUUCCCUGCCAUUAUUUCAAAUCACAGGUGAUGGACCACAAUUUGUGGGCCUGAUAUUUGUAAUCUAGAUGUAAAAUAUCUCUGUUAUGAGUGGUCUAGAUGUUGCAAAAGUUGAUAUUGGUUUGUGUGCUGCAAAUUGCUUCUUCAAUCUCUCCUCAUGCCAAUCAACCUAGCGUUUCUCAUCGAUAUUUUCAGAAAUUGACCUUUUUUUGGAGAUUUCUUUGUUUGGAUUUUUUUUUUUUUUUUUUGGCAAUUCAAGGAAUUGCAGUGAGUUGUGGAAAACCAUGGUGGAUCUGUUCUAGCUUGCUUGUUUUGGGUUUUCCUCGCAUGAGUUGUGAAAAACCCAUGAGUUGCGUCGCUAGUUAGUAGGAAGGAAUGCCUGGGUUCAUUUGGUUGUCAUGUGUGAUAUUCCUUUCCCUUCUCUUUGGUUUUUAUUCCCCUGUUAUUACUGUAUUAGAAAUUUGAUUUGGUAUGCCAUCUUGCAGUUUUUGAAGGUUGAAGGCAGGUUGUUGCAAAAAUAAAAAAAAAGACAAAAAAGGGACCAUUCUGUGUAGGUGUUUGGUUUACUUGCUGGGAUCUGCUAUGGCAGAUGAUGAAGCGGUUUUGAGUAACCAGAGAAGAGGCCUAUGCUAAGUCAUCUUUGGUUUACUGGGAAGUAUGCCACAUGAAAUUCCAAUGAUCUCUCUAAGGGCUGGGAAGUGGACAAUGCCCUCAGAUUCCGAUGAUCUCUCCUACCUUGCUGGAGAAUCUGAAUCCAUGGUUGAGCUCCCCUUGUGUAAGACCUGCAGCAGGUUUAGAGGAAUGGACUUAUCUGCAGAGUAUUUUGUGCAUGCGCUGGGGCUGCAGCAGGUACUAUAACUUGGACAGUUUCUUAACCUAUGUUGCUCAAUCACCUUGGAUACAGAGCGUGAAAAUCGAAGAAAAUAUAUUGUUUGGAACUAGAAGAGGCAGAAAUAGAAAUGGAUCUUCUUCAGAAAGAUCAAGCAUUGCAUGAAGUAUCUGGAAGUUCAAAAGAAGAAGCACAUUGGACCCCUGACUCUCCUCUUUUAUCUAGUAAUACUUGGUGGCCUUAUCCUGUGUCGAUUUUCUUUUGGACUGUUGGAAGCUGGCAUUCUGAAUCAGGUCACGAUGAUCUCUUAGUUUUUUCAUAUACCUUCUAAUAUUUGGUCAUCUUUGACAUUGAUGCAACAGCUCAUCAGAACGAUGAUAAUCAUCUACAGGAAAUUAAGGAUAGCAUUCGUUCCUUGCAAGUACUGAAAGUAUUGAACUGUGACAGACUAUAGUAACAGGGAAGUUUUCGUAGAUGCAUCAUGCUAGUGUCUUUAUGUGUGCACAUGCAUGAUCUUGUGCAUAUGCUAGUGUCUUUUGUGGCGUGCAUAUGUAGCACUGAUACUAAAUUCAUGUUUAUCUUGGGGCCGUUUGGUUAGCCUCAAAGUUGUAUUCAGGUAGAACUUUUUGAACGCAUUUGUCUAGCUACGCUUGUUCGAAGUUUCUUGUAUGGAUAAGCAAAUCUCCAGUUUUUAAAGAAAUGCUGGAGAACGAGAUGGAGGAGAGCAAGAGUGGCACCAUUAAGAUAAGUGAUGUAUCCUAUGAUGUUCUUCCCUCCUUUGUACACUACUUGUACACUAACACGAUUUUGUUGUUAAUGAGUCCAUACAUAUUUAUGUUGAAAGCACUAAAAAAUGAGAGUACCAAGCUUCUUUAAGCUACCUCAAUAGUAUGUAGAAAACGUAGACAUAAAACAUGCAUAUGAAAAAGAUUUUGGUCAGUUGGGGUUCUCCCCAAGUUGAUGAAAGAAAGAAAAUUAAUGGAUUCUUGGCCUUCUUCCAAGCUGCAUUUGCAGUUCUACAGACAGUUCUUGGCCUGAGCACCAUGAUCUGAUGAACAUUUGCAUUGCAUGGAGUCUGCAAUACUCAUCCAUUUAUGUCGUCAAAGCUGUACUUUUUUCUUUUAAGUUGUUUCUUUAUUUCUUUGCAUAUACUUUGAAGGACAAAAUCCUUCAUAUCAGUGACCUUGCUUUGAUUUUGUAUUAUGAUUCAAGAACGGUCACUUGAAUGGGUUGCUUUCGAGUUUCAACACUUGAUGUAAAAGUGCAUUUGGAUUUCAUAGUUCCCAUGGUUGUCAUAAUUCAUUGCAAAACAUACUGAUAUAGGAUGGUCUUGGUGGUGUGGGCUGCUUUUCGCCUAUUUUUCAUCUUCUAUAUCUCUUGAUUUGGUUAUGUUAGGUCACUCUUUUCUAAUCUUGCUGGCUAGAAGAUUCUCUUCUUUGCUUGGUCGAGCUAUCAGUGCUAGCAACAA